rnacentral:rRNA from 1 species
AACGAACGCUGGCGGCAGGCCUAACACAUGCAAGUCGAGCGAGACCUUCGGGUCUAGCGGCGGACGGGUGAGUAACGCGUGGGAACGUGCCCUUUGGUACGGAAUAGCCCCGGGAAACUGGGAGUAAUACCGUAUAAGCUCUUCGGAGGAAAGAUUUAUCGCCAAAGGAUGAGCCUGCGUCUGAUUAGCUUGUUGGUGGGGUAAAAGCCUACCAAGGCGAUGAUCAGUAGCCGACCUGAGAGGGUGAUCGGCCACACUGGAACUGAGACACGGUCCAGACUCCUACGGGAGGCAGCAGUGGGGAAUAUUGCACAAUGGGCGCAAGCCUGAUGCAGCAACGCCGCGUGAGUGAUGAAGGCCUUCGGGUCGUAAAACUCUGUCCUAAGGGAAGAUAAUGACGGUACCUUAGGAGGAAGCCCCGGCUAACUACGUG